GCGACACUAGCUGAGUUGGUAGAGCGCAACCUUGCCAAGGUUGAGGUCACGAGUUCGAACCUCGUGUGUCGCUCCA
rnacentral:tRNA from 1 species